rnacentral:rRNA from 1 species
CGGAGGGGGCCAGCGUUGUUCGGAAUCAUUGGGCGUAAAGGGCGCGUAGGCGGCUUGGUAUGUCCGUUGUGAAAUCCCUCGGCUCAACCGAGGAACUGCGACGGAUACUGCUUGGCUUGAGUCCCGGAGAGGGUAGCGGAAUUCCCAGUGUAGCGGUGAAAUGCGUAGAUAUUGGGAGGAACAUCGGUGGCGAAGGCGGCUACCUGGACGGGUACUGACGCUGAUGCGCGAAAGCUAGGGGAGCAAACAGGAUUAGAUACCCUGGUAGUCCUAGCUGUAAACGAUGGGCACUUGGUGUUGCGGGUAUCGACCCCUGCAGUGCCGAAGCUAACGCAUUAAGUGCCCCGCCUGGGGAGUACGGUCGCAAGGCUG